UUUAUUUCUAAUAUAAUACACAGAGUUAACAUCAAUAUUUGAGUGGAAGGAUUUUAUUUUUGUUUGUAAAAAUGAAUGGAGCCCAAUGAGGAAACUUGCUUUUUGAGCAAAAAUCAUAGAUAUCACCAGGGGGCGACAUUACAUCCGGUACUGCGGUUGAGAACCAAAAGCUGGCUCCUUGAUUAUAUCCCACAGUCCAUCACUUAUCCGAUGCAUCCCCAUAGAUCGGUCAUAGGAACUCGGGAGGGUAGGAGUGGCCAGUCAGUGAAGCCCAGGAAGUAUCGGGAAACAGCCACUACUGAGCAUGUUCACAACUGUUGAGGGCAAAAGAGCUUGCUGCUCAUUGAAUUGAAUGUAGAAAUCCAAGGUGAUUUAACAACCAAAGAAAACCUCAUCAGUCCAUUUUUCUGUGACCAUAAAUGUCAUUAUGUGCAGCAGUUUCCGAAACAAUGGUUGUUUUGUAAUUCUGUAGUGGUGUAGCAAAUUAUAUUGGAAUGUAUAGGUAUAACAAUAUUGUAGUGCAGUUGUUGAAUGAGAGCAAUGCAUUUUACAGGUAUACUGCUGUAGUAUGAUACAGGUAGAAUAGCAACUGAACCAGGGGUUGUUUGUUGAUUUUGUAUCAUUUGUAUGGAACACUUAAUUAAUUUCAUGUUGCUCUCCUGCUACUUUUUCAUUUCUUGCCACAAUUACUUCCAUCUAGAACUCAUCCAUAGUAGUAACACUGGGCUUUGGUUUCUCACACAAACUAUAUUAGCCUUCAGCCUCACUGCUUGGCUCACCAACAAAGCCUUAAGAACAUAAAAUGUUUCUGAAUAAGCUGCAAAAUCCACAAAAAGAUAUUAUUUCAUUGACUAAUUUCCCGUUUUUUUUGCAUUGCCUUGAUCACUAUUUCAGACAAUAUGUAUGCAGUAUGUAUAUUUGAUAUUUGAAACCAUACCAAAUUGGGAGUCUUCAAGAUAGCAUUCAUUAUGAUGAUGAUGGUAAUAAUAAUAAUAAUAAUAAUAAUAUCUCAAUUAAUGCUUAGAGGAUUGAGCAAUAUGCACAAAAAUGCUCCUUAUGAUAAAAGCCCAUUUUCUAAACACAGAACAAGGAGAAAACAGCAGGAAUAAUAAAUUGCCAUAUUCAAGGUAAACAGGGUAAAUUUGGCUAGUUAUUAAUGCAAUAUUGCUAUUGGCAUAAAUAUGCUUCAUGCUCUGCAUGCUCUUUCUUUCUCCUAAGAAAUAGAAACGUCUUACAUACUGUAUGUUUAGAAGUCCCCAAUCCCACAAGUGAUUAUCCAAUCAUAACAUGGGAUACAAUGAAAUAAUAGAAGAAAAGUGGGAACAAAGUGGUACUGCAUUCAGUCACUAGAGGGACUAGAGAGCAAAAAACCAUCCAAUAGUAUUUUGAGCACAUAUAGUUCCCUUGGAAUUUUGACUAAGGUCUAUUUAACUGCUACUGGUCUGCAUGUGACAGGUGUUAAAUGAAAUUGCAAUUUAGUGUAAUGGUCUCAGAAGAGAAAUGUUCUUAAUGGUUUUAUUUUGAUGUGUAUCUUUUGGACUGAGGAGCCCGGAGUACCCCAUAAACAGCACCUGAGGUAUCAAGACAGCAAAAUGUUCUAGGCAUGACUCCCUGUGCCCCAUGUCUCUGAGCAUUAUACAUACGCGACCGCCAAAAUAGAAGAUGCCGAGGAGAACAAAUUGACUGUGAGGAUUCAGGAUGAUUGUUCUGCACAAAGGCUGCUUCACCUCAGGGAGAACACCUCCCUUUAAAUUCACCUUUAGAACAAGAUGGAUGAACCAGACCUAGGUCAAAUAAAUAUCUGAAAUAA